rnacentral:rRNA from 1 species
AGCAGCCGCCGCGGUAAUACAGAGGGUGCGAGCGUUAAUCGGAUUUACUGGGCGUAAAGCGUGCGUAGGCGGCUUUUUAAGUCGGAUGUGAAAUCCCUGAGCUUAACUUAGGAAUUGCAUUCGAUACUGGGAAGCUAGAGUAUGGGAGAGGAUGGUAGAAUUCCAGGUGUAGCGGUGAAAUGCGUAGAGAUCUGGAGGAAUAUCGAUGGCGAAGGCAGCCAUCUGGCCUAAUACUGACGCUGAGGUACGAAAGCAUGGGGAGCAAACAGGAUUAGAUACCCGAGUAGUCCCUGUCUCUUAUAA